rnacentral:rRNA from 1 species
AUUGAACGCUGGCGGAAUGCUUUACACAUGCAAGUCGAACGGUAGAGGGGGCAACCCCUCGAGAGUGGCGAACGGGUGAGUAAUAUAUCGGAGCGUGCCCAGUCGUGGGGGAUAACGUAGCGAAAGUUACGCUAAUACCGCAUACGAUCUAAGGAUGAAAGCGGGGGAUCGCAAGACCUCGCGCGAUUGGAGCGGCCGAUAUCAGAUUAGGUAGUUGGUGGGGUAAAGGCUCACCAAGCCAACGAUCUGUAGCUGGUCUGAGAGGACGACCAGCCACACUGGAACUGAGACACGGUCCAGACUCCUACGGGAGGCAGCAGUGGGGAAUUUUGGACAAUGGACGCAAGUCUGAUCCAGCCAUUCCGCGUGCAGGAUGAAGGCCCUCGGGUUGUAAACUGCCUUUGUACGGAACGAAAAGGUCUCUCUUAAUACGGGGGACUCAUGACGGUACCGUAAGAAUAAGCACCGGCUAACUGCGUGCCAGCCGCCGCAGUAAUAC